ACCGAAUAGAUACCCUGGUAGUCCACGCCCUAAACUAUGCGAACUGGAUGUUGGGUACAUUACGGUACUCAGUGUCGAAAGCUAAACGCGUUAAGUUCGCCGCCUGGGGAGUACGGUCGCAAGACUGAAACUCAAAGGAAUUGACGGGGGCCCGCACAAGCGGUGGAGUAUGUGGUUUAAUUCGAUGCAACGCGAAGAACCUUACCUGGCCUUGACAUCUGUCGAAUCCUGCAGAGAUGCGGGAGUGCCGCAAGGAACGACAAGACAGGUGCUGCAUGGCUGUCGUCAGCUCGUGUCGUGAGAUGUUGGGUUAAGUCCCGCAACGAGCGCAACCCUUGUCCCUAGUUGCCAGCACAUCAUGGU
rnacentral:rRNA from 1 species